rnacentral:misc_RNA from 1 species
UUGGAACUAUCUUCUUGCUUAUUGGUCAUUUUGUUAUGCUAUCUCUUUGCUUCACAUUUCGGAUCUUCGAGGUACCGUCUCCUGCGCUGAAUUCCGGCUUCCGACCUGACGUCUGGGUGACGAGACCGAGGGAAGGCAGAUUCUCCUAAGCUCUGGCUGAGUCAACACUACCUAGACUCGCCUCUGCCUCCAGAAGUAUUCUCUCGUGAAGCCCUGCUCACCGCUCGCUUUGGGGGACCUGAACUAGUCUCCUGGCAGUCGUGUCUAGCCAGCCUGAGUCCAGACCAGCCUUUGGAUGAAGCACCAUACUACUCGGGCUUGUUGGUGGUUCUGCAUCCACUCCUGUUUCAAUCCUGGUCAUCGCUGGAUACCGCUCUGCUUACUCUCCACCCUACACCCUGCUUCAUUCCUCGUCCUCUUCUUGGGGUCCUGUACCCGUGUGCUGCCCGGGACGGCCGUGUGUGAAGUGGAUGGGUGUGGUACCAGCGCUAGAGCAGCUACCUCUCUAAGGGAGCGACCAACGUCCAUAUAGAGCUAGUUGAGUUGGGAAGAGAUGGGACUCGAGUGACGAGUUACGUGAGUUUGUUUCUACUCGGCAAGCGUUGCAACAAGACGAACGACAGAAGGAAAGUGAAGAGAGGAAAGGGAACAUGCCCUUGCCAUGUCCGAAUUAAAGCUCAAGUUGUCACUGCAAGAAUAAGUCAGAUUCAGUGAUCUUGCCUGGGGAUUGUGGGACUGUUCCCCGACCUUCUCUACCAGUCUAUCAAGAUGAUCUGACAUCCUACUUCACACGUUUUGAACUCCUUGCUGCCCUGCUCAACAUUCCUCAGGACCAGUAUGCCAUUCAACUGGGUGGUCUUCUCUCUGGUAUAAGAACCUUCUUGAAAGAAAACUACGUGCAGACCUUGGACGACGCUGUCAAACGUGCAGAUAUUUGGGCAGCUGCCCAUCGUGCUUACCCGAGACACACACCCCAGCUGGACAUAAGAAGCCGUCACAUACAUCUCCAACUACUACCGACCAAGCUUCUCGCCUAUGUCCUCCACCGGCCAGGAAGUCUUCCACACCCAUCAGGUGUCACAAUUGUGGGGAGCCAGGACACGUUCGACCUUGAUGUCCCCAAAAUCCAGCUUUGUUCAGGACUGGUAGCACUCCUCAACCAGACAAAGGUAGGUUUCUGCUUCAGUGAUCCUACUACUAAUCUCUACUUCUCUUCUCACCAUCAAUGGAGCGAGAGUAUCUACUAUCAUACGUGACAUUGGCUGUUCCUGUAUCAUUGUAUCUGAGGAAGCCUUACCCGAUGUAGACGUCUCCCAGUGUCCUAAAGUUCUUGUUUCUGACUAUUUAGGAAGAUUGGACUCCUUCCUCAGAUACGAUGCUACCUUCGCUGUCCCUUAAGGUUAUGUUGAUGCUGUUCGUGCUCCAAUCAAGUUCUGUAGUGUUCUGCUUGGUAAUGUGGAAGGAGUGAGCACACCAGACGAGAACAUGAAAAAGGCUUGUCUGCCUUGGCAUUGUUCACCUGUCCCUGAGAAGGUUCAAGCAGUUGAAACCCAGAGCCGCGUGGCACGAAGAAUUCAUCCCCUUGUGCUACCAGAACUCCAACCUAAUAACAUUACUCCCCGGGAAUUUUCUCGCCUGCAGAAUUCAUGUUCCUCCCUUCAGGCUCUCCGUCUUAGUUCAUCAACUGGUGAAGAAGAGGUAACUCGCAGUGGUUCGAAGUUUUCCUAAGUUUUCUGAUGAACUACUCUACCGAGUGUGCCGCUCUUCUAGCAACCAAGAACAAGUGUAAAAGACGUUGGUCAUCCCUGCUGAGUGUCGUCGCCUGGUGCUGUCUCUUGCCCAUGAGGGUCCAAUGUCAGGACUCUUCUCCCACAUAGAGAGGGCUGUGAAUUACAUCAUCCAGGAGUUUGAGGGAACAUCUGCCUAUCUGGACGACCUGGUGGUGACUUCGGAUGACUGGGUGACACAUCUGACCCGUCUCCGGAGGCUGAUGGGUCGGUUGAAGGAAGCUGGUCUUACGAUCAACCUGGCCAAG